rnacentral:lncRNA from 1 species
GAGAGAGAGAGAGAGAGAGAGAGAGAGGGAGAGAGAUGGGCUGCAAAAAAUCAAUGGGCUGUGAUGGCAACGAAGCUCACUGCCUUGUUUGUUACAACCUGGAAGCUGUGGACUGGUGGUUACCAAGUUGUGGGUAACCAGUCCAGGUCAUCAACCCAAAAUCCAAACAAGUGAGGGGUUCUAAACCCGUGGGUGCAGCCCAUGCCUGGUGACGGGCGGGCCGGGCCACUUCGAAGUGAAGAAACCAUAAAUGGAAAUAUGAGAAAAAAAUCAGAGACAGGCUUAGCC